ACAGCCCGAAAAUGGCACAGAAAUGGUAUCAAGAAACCCCGAUCACAAAGAUACGAAUCUCUUAAGGGGGUGGACCCCAAGUUCCUGAGGAACAUGCGCUUUGCCAAGAAGCACAACAAAAAGGGCCUAAAGAAGAUGCAGGCCAACAAUGCCAAGGCCAUGAGUGCACGUGCCGAGGCUAUCAAGGCCCUCGUAAAGCCCAAGGAGGUUAAGCCCAAGAUCCCAAAGGGUGUCAGCCGCAAGCUCGAUCGACUUGCCUACAUUGCCCACCCCAAGCUUGGGAAGCGUGCUCGUGCCCGUAUUGCCAAGGGGCUCAGGCUGUGCCGGCCAAAGGCCAAGGCCAAGGCCAAGGCCAAGGAUCAAACCAAGGCCCAGGCUGCAGCCCCAGCUUCAGUUCCAGCUCAGGCUCCCAAACGUACCCAGGCCCCUACAAAGGCUUCAGAGUAGAUAUCUCUGCCAACAUGAGGACAGAAGGACUGGUGCGACCCCCCACCCCCGCCCCUGGGCUACCAUCUGCAUGGGGCUGGGGUCCUCCUGUGCUAUUUGUACAAAUAAACCUGAGGCAGG
rnacentral:lncRNA from 1 species